UAAAACAAUACUUUAAAGAAAAAGGAUCGAUUUGCAUUUGAUUAUUGGCGGUUUUGUCUUGUUUUAU
rnacentral:tRNA from 1 species